rnacentral:rRNA from 1 species
AAUAGAUACCCAGGUAGUCCAUGCCGUAAACGUUGGGAACUAGAUGUGGGGACCAUUCCACGGUCUCCGUGUCGCAGCUAACGCAUUAAGUUCCCCGCCUGGGGAGUACGGCCGCAAGGCUAAAACUCAAAGGAAUUGACGGGGGCCCGCACAAGCGGCGGAGCAUGCGGAUUAAUUCGAUGCAACGCGAAGAACCUUACCAAGGCUUGACAUAUACGAGAACGCUGCAGAAAUGUAGAACUCUUUGGACACUCGUAUACAGGUGGUGCAUGGUUGUCGUCAGCUCGUGUCGUGAGAUGUUGGGUUAAGUCCCGCAACGAGCGCAACCCUCGUCGUAUGUUGCCAGCACGUAAUGGUGGGAACUCAUAUGAGACUGCCGGGGUCAACUCGGAGGAAGGUGGGGAUGAGGUCAAAUCAUCAUGCCCCUUAUGUCUUGGGCUUCACGCAUGCUACAAUGGCCGGUACAAAGGGCUGCAAUACCGCAAGGUGGAGCGAAUCCCAAAAAGCCGGUCUCAGUUCGGAUUG